CAACAAGGGUUGAGCAUCAGUACCUACACUUAAACAUACAUCAUCAACUCCAAAGUGAGAGAGAGAGAGAGAGAGAGAUCAUGGCAAUGGCAACGAAGUUAGUUUCUACUUUGGCCAUCUUUUUCAUCCUCGUUCUCGUCAUCUCUGAAACGCGUGGGACAGAAGCCCAUGGUGACGCGUGCCUGAAAGAAUACGAUGGCGAAUCUGGUUUCGCCUUGUGCGCGCCUCUGAUAUACCCGCCGUUUUGUUAUACAAGGUGCAGAUCGGACAAGGGUGCUAAAAGUGGUAGAUGCGUCCGGGGAGCCGUAGAUCUCAUGCCUAUAUGCUUAUGCGACUACUGUGGCGGAGAAAUUGGACCGUUUAUAAGACAAGUUUGAAUCUUGCAAGUGUCAUAUGGUUUGCUUUGAAUCAAGGAUGAUAAUCCAAUAAAUAAAUAAUGUAACGAUGAAUAAUAAAAUAAAAUAAAUAAAUAAUCUUGCCUAGGUUGUUGUUAUUA